UAGCUGCUCGCCCAGAUUUCGGCCGUUACGCACAACUGCUGCCUCUUAAAUAGAAAACGUUUUCACCGCUUAGGCAACGCGUUGAAGAAAUCUAUCGAAACAAUGCCAAACGGGCUUAAAAAUGAGAUUAAGUCUGCACCCGACGAUUGACUGCCACCGUACGGCUACGCGUCCAACCGCUCCGUCUACGCGUAGUCCAGUUCUUCAAGCCGGCACAUCACUACACUGGAACUGCAGCCAAGAGCCAACACGCUCGCUGCUGCUGAUUUAUGGCUUGGCUGGAGAUGAUUAUUCAAGAACAGCCAAGACUAGUCGAAACAAUGAGCUGAGAGCGGGCUGAUUACUGCAUAUCACAUUUGGCUUCAUCAAGAACAGAAGGCUUAAAAAUGAAGGCACUCUCUCUGCCCGGUGGUUCAGGGCAUCUAGUGGAUUUUUUCAGCCUUCUGGGAUCUUCAGUGGAGCGAGAAGGAAAGAGCUUGAUCUGUCUUUAUGCACUUUUAAUUACAAGCGGCUGGCUGGGCUGCAACCUCUAGAGACCAGAGGUAAAGCAAACACUUCGGGACCAGCUGCCAUGCCGCUGACAGCUCAAUAUCAACCUAAAUAUCCCCAGUCCCGCAGGGAGAUGGACGGUGGCAACCUGGGAUUAAUGCAAGGGUCGCAUGUCUAAGCAUAUCAGCUGAAGACACCUGCCAAUCACCAGGCAGAAUCAGCCAGUAAAGGCAACAGGUCAGUUGUCUAUGUUAGCAUUCCCACAGGAGUCAUAAAAGUGAUGCCAUCAAUCAAACUACUACUAUGAGUUGCAGUUGGAGCUAACUUCUCAACAACUCCUGGGGUCUAGUUCAAUAAGAGCUGCUGGUGGUGAUGGACGGAUCUCCGAUCAGACAGUAGUGGUGAUUACUUUCUGUGGAACACAGGCUGAUGGAGUGCAGACUUAUUUUAAACUCCCCACUCCCGCAACUUGGACCACACUGCAUUUUCAGCUCC